rnacentral:rRNA from 1 species
UACGUAGGGUGCGAGCGUUAAUCGGAAUUACUGGGCGUAAAGCGUGCGCAGGCGGUGGUGUAAGAUCGAUGUGAAAUCCCCGGGCUUAACCUGGGAACUGCAUUGGUGACUGCAUUGCUGGAGUAUGGCAGAGGGGGGUGGAAUUCCACGUGUAGCAGUGAAAUGCGUAGAGAUGUGGAGGAACACCGAUGGCGAAGGCAGCCCCCUGGGCCAAUACUGACGCUCAUGCACGAAAGCGUGGGGAGCAAACAGG